AUUGAACGCUGGCGGCAGGCCUAACACAUGCAAGUCGAGCGAGCGGCGGACGGGUGAGUAAUGUAUGGGGAACUGCCCGAUAGAGGGGGAUAAAUACUUGGAAAGGGGGCUAAUACCGCAUACUAGCGGAUGAACCCAUAUGGGAUUAGCGAGUAGGUGGGGUAAGGGCACACAUAGGCGACGAUCUCUAGCUGGUCUGAGAGGAUGAGCGGCCACACUGGGACUGAGACACGGCCCAGACUCCUACGGGAGGCAGCAGUGGGGAAUCUUGGACAAUGGGCGAAAGUCUGAUGGAGCCAUGCCGCGUGUAUGAAGAAGGCUUUAGGGUCGUAAAGUACUUUUGUCGGAGAGGCGGUACCUGAAGAAGAAGCACCGGCUAACUACGUGCCAGCCGCCGCGGUAAUAC
rnacentral:rRNA from 1 species